UCAAAGUUUAACCUCCCACGCCACCCCACCCUACCCUAGCCUGCCCUACCCUACCCUACGCUCUCGUAAUCUCCGGCCGGUGUAUACUGUUCACGGUCUCCCACUCUCUCUUUCUCACAGAAAGUUGCAGAAGAAUUAUAUUUUCUUGUUUUUGCCAUUUUCAGAUCAUUUAGCUGCAGAAUAUGUAAACAGAACAACUCUCUUUUUUGUAUACGUAUAUGUGUAUUUAUCUUCUCUUCUUGUGUAUUUAUAUACAAGAUUUUUGAAGAGAUCUUGAAGUCGCUUUCCCAUCUCUGACUCUCAUGAAGAAAGCGACUUAUCAUCUUCCCCUUGUAAUUUAUAUUUCUUGGUUUUCCUGACCCUACAAUUAUAUUAUUAAAUCAAUCAAUUUAAUUUUUUUUUAGCCACCUGCUAUCUUAUCCGUGUUUUCUUUAUCAUUUUCUGUUCAAAGAACUUCAAUGAAACCAUUUUUAAUUAACAUCAUUGGUGAUCUAGGGUUUCAACUGAUCUGAGCUCCUCCAUCACAAAUGCAAGCAGUUAAGUAAUUUCUGAAAGAUUAGAUAGUUUAAUUUUUGACAUGGAUGAUUGUGAUUGUGAAACCUGGAAUAUGGGUUUUGAUUUUCCGAGUAACAUUAGGGUUUGUGGAAAAGUGAUAGGUAAUUGCAGUUGAAUUCAUGUUUUCAUCUCUCUUGGACAAAGGUUUAGAGGAAUUAUUAAUUGCUAAUGGAUUUUUAUUGUAUCUGUUCAAUAUUUCUUUCGUUUUAAACUUUAAGAAGCUUAUGAUUUAUUAUAGCAUUUUUUUCAAUCAAGAAUAGAAAUUUGAUUUCAAUUUCUUCAUUUUGUGCUACAGAAUACGUUCUACCUCACUCUUAUUUUAUUUUUCUAUCUGGUAAUGGAGACAGAAAAAAGAAUAGUUUUUCAGUGUCCAUCUGCAAAUAGUGUUGCUCCAUUUCAGGUUUCACUGGGAAAGAAAAAUGAGGUAAUGCUUUGAUGUUUUCCAGUGUUGAGCUAGGAAAACAAAUCUUAAUUGAAUAUUAGCUACUAAAUUGAAUGUGUUAUCAUUAGGAUUUUGGAUUUGUCGCAUAAUUAGCAUAAAAUCUGCCUUGAUUUAAGGUUCAGAAGCAUUUGAUAGACUUUUAAGCAUUGGAAGCUUGAAAUUUCACUGAAAUACUUGCAUGUUAAUCAUUUUUUCCCCUCCCUCUCUCUCCUUCACACUCUUUUACAUCUUCUUGGUCCUUUGGAAAAUGUGAUCAUUAUUUUGAAAUGGUGGUUCUCGAGGUAUUGACCGCAUCAUUUGGUGUAACUGGUUAUUCCUUAGCUCGGGAACAAAUUGGUUAUUGGGCGGGGAAAAUUGUAACAGGUGUACUUGAAGCUAUUCUUGUAUUGAUAUUCCAAUUCGAUCCGAGCUCUCUUAUUGAAUUGCUCAUUCAAUGAGCAUUCUCAAUAUUAUACCUUGAAGAGAACUUGAAACUCCGUGCCAACAGUCAUGGAAAGAUAGAGGAUGCAAGCAUUAUCUAGAAUGAUUGGGCAUAAAGCGCCUAUAAGUGGCUUUUUAAGUGGAGCUAAGGUCCAAAAUAUGGAAGAAAGAAGCGUUUUCACGACUCUACCACCCCAGUCAAUCCGUUCUACUUAAUCUCUCUUUCUCUUUCAUGGCCACAUAUCUUUCUGGCCACAAUGAGAAAUGGUCUAAAAGAGCUUCCUUUAGCCCAUUCAUGGACGAUAUUGGGGGUUGAAUUAGCUGCCGACUCAUUCAUUUAACCACAAGUAGCGACUCAUUCAUUUAACCACAAGUAGAAUACAAGAAGUCUAAUGCUACUGUGAUUGAAGGAAUGAUGCGGGAGAUAGUUUCAUGUCCUUCUUCCUCUGUGCUUGGACUGAAGGGAGCUCCUCUUGCUGUUGCCUUCAUUUUGUUAUCUUUUUGGGCUCGGUCUUGUUUCCAAAAGAUGAUUCCCUUCUGGCUAAGAUGCCUUUAUUAUUCACUUAUGGCUUGUUUGGUAAUGUUGACUCUACAACAAUGAACAAAUAUAUAAAAAAAGGAAAAGAAAAUGAAACUAAAAUCUUGUUCAUUUUAAUGUUUAUUCUUGUAUAACAUACAUGCCAUUAAUGAAUGUUGAACAGUGAAUUUUGACGAUUCACAGUUGGUCGUUUUCUUCUAUGUUUGUGCUAAUAUUCUUAACCAAAUGUUGCUAAAUCUCGUUGAAUAACCUAAGAUCUCAUAUAUGGUAUCUCUUCGUCACCUUCUUGUUCGAAUAGUUUUUAAUUUCCUAUUGAUAAGCGUGACUUUAGUUUUAUGUUGAUUAGAGAAAAGUGGCUAAAUGUUUCCGUUUCUGUAAAAAGCAUAUCUCUGUCUAUUUAUCAGACGUGCUUGAAUAUAUUUGUGUUACAUUGACCAUAGAAAAGUCCUAUGGUAUGGUCAUACUGAAAGAGUUGAACUCCGAGGGUGUGGGAUGAACUUUUGAUUAUGAAGUAAUAGCUUAAAACUUUGUUUCAGUUUUCACUCUCCCUAACAAAAUCAGUUGAGAGCUCCUCAUUUGAGUUUGUACUAGACGAUUUACAUUUUGUGAGUUGCUUCUUGGAUUCUUUUAUAAACUAUAUAGUUUUGCCACCUUUCCUUAUCACUUAGGCCACUGCCAUUUACUGCAGUUAUGUAUUGAUUUUACUUCAGAACUUUAACUUAUUUGAGUCUUUAAACCUUUCAUUUCUGCUCGAGCUAACUGUCUCAAAGAAUCCAUUAUAAAAUUUUCCAACCAGUUCCAACUAUAGUUUUGGUAAUAAACUGAUGAUUAUCGUAGUUUAAUGACUUAUUAUUGUACUUUAUUCUGCACUUCUUUCACUUUUUGUCUAUUUAGAAUCGUAAAACCUCAUCUAUUUCCUGCUAUCCCUCUCUCCUUUAUUUUAUUUUAUUUUAUCUCAAUUGAAUAUGCUAGAUUGCCAUUUGAAUUCAGAAAUUGCGUACUUUCAAGUGACAAAUUAUAUGUGGAAAGUACAGGUAUGAAUUUUAUAUACAUCACAAUUUGAGAAUUGUUUCCAGUUUUCUCAUUUCUUUAUGCGUGAAGUAAGUGUGCACAAACAUCUUUUUUUAUUUGUAUAUGCAACUUUAACUUAUAAUUUAGGUUUUUCAGUACAAAAGUUCUUUUUAAGUGGAUGCUUUCUAAUUAAUUUAUCCAUAAUCAGUUCAUGCAACUCUUGGUUUAUGGGACAAUGUGAUAAAUAUUUCCAAGUAUAGCUGAAGAGCCUCUUCUACUUUAAACCCUAUUCAGGAAAUUAUUUAGCUUAUUUUUCAAAUAGUUAGCUUCUGCAGAUUGGGUUUGUAGGGUGGUCCUAAUUUCUGCAGUGUGUUUCUGAAAUGCAUACUGAUUUUCAUUGUUUAUUUUAUAAGUGAACUGUGGUCCAAAAUAUCAGUUUCCCUCCUAUUUUUCUUGUAUAAAAGAAUUGUCAUAGAAAGUGACAUUUAAAGUUUGUGUGUGAAAAUUAAGCAAGCUAAUCUUUACGUUGCGUAGGGCUGCAGACGAGCGAAGAUAAUGCAUGCUUGGCUUGUACAGAAUUCUUUCAAGAUCAGCUUGAGAAAUGUAUCGAGAAAGUUAAUGAUUAUAAAUCCCAAUGGUUUGAGUUUGAUCUUGAAUUGAUGAGUUUCAGUUCGAAUGAUAAGUUAUCGCCGCAAGGGAUACUGGCUAUAGCAUUAUGAAAUGUUUGGUAUGUGAUCUCUCUUCUACCUUUCAUCGCUCCCAUAUCGUCAUAUGGAAACACGGGGCGUAAAAAAGUGAAUUCUAUCACCGCGUUACGUCCUCUUAUUUCCUAUCUAACUUAAUGUUUUAUUGAAUUAGAAUUUGGUGGUCCCAUUACCAUAGUUUGAUAAGUAGAGGAAUGGUAAGUGUUGUGGAAACUCAAGUUUAACUCAGUAUUUGUCGGUUUCAGGUAUUGCUACUCAAUAAAAUUGACUGCAAACCAACAUAAAUUGAUGUCUACAGCUAUAGAUUGUGAAAUUGCUUAGCAGGGUUUCAGGGAAGGGAAGUUUUCAUUAUAAAAAUUCUAUGGACCAUUUUCUUUUCAAUAAAAAAUAAAUUAUUGUGUUUAAUAUCACGGGCACGAGGUGGAAGGCUCGGAGUGCCAACAUUGAACUGGGCCGUCAAAUAAGCCCAUUCAAUUUGCUGUAUCUCCUUUGUGCGGCCAGAGUUUAUGGACUAACAAAUUGUGGGAGAAUAGAAUGCAAGAAUUAUAAAGGUUGAAUCUCAACCUUGAAGGCUCCCAUCGUCCCGUCCUUAGAGUUUUGUGAGAGAGGUAAAUAGCGGGAUGUGCCCCAACAGACCAGGGAACAAGAGUUGCGUGUACACUGCGUCUACAAAAAGUCAAAUUUCAUGUCUCAGGAAUCGAAUCCUCACACUGCAGCUGUCAGCAAGACGUGAGAUAACAUCACUCCCAUCCUUUGUACCACUAGGCCAUGCCUCGAGGGGCGAAUGCAAUAAUUAUAGAUUGAAUUAAUUAUGGAGUUACAAUUACAUUUUUUUUUAUUUUUUAACCUUUACAUUGUUAUUCUUAACAUUAUAUUAAUUUGUACAUCCUUUCUUUGAUAAUAGUUUUCAUACAAAUAAUUUGUUUAAGAUAGC
rnacentral:lncRNA from 1 species